UACGAAGGGGGCUAGCGUUGCUCGGAAUGACUGGGCGUAAAGGGCGCGUAGGCGGUUUGUACAGUCAGGUGUGAAAUUCCCGGGCUCAACCUGGGGGCGGCACUUGAGACGUAGGAACUGGAGUGAGGAAGAGGGUCGUGGAAUUCCCAGUGUAGAGGUGAAAUUCGUAGAUAUCUGGAGGAACACCGGUGGCGAAAGCGGCUCACUGGAUCGAAACUGACGCUGAGGUGCGAAAGCUAGGGUAGCAAACGGG
rnacentral:rRNA from 1 species